CCCCCCAUAACCCGUCCUGAACCCAAUUAUUCUUACCCCAAACCCGCCCUAUUAGGAGCGGGGCAGGACUCCGAUUAUUUCGGGGUAAUUGCCAUCCCUAAUUGGUAUAAUAGAUCUCACAAAUAAAUUAGUUAUUUUCAACACAUUAAAUAAUAAAUUAAAAUAGUAAAAACAAAUGAUAAGCAUAUUCCAACUUGUUUAUUUAUUUUACAAACUUAUAAUAAAGCACUAAAUAUAUAGUUUUGUCAAUUACACGAAUUGCCCCUCUCUUUACCUUUUUGGACUUUUAGUUCUUUUUUCUCUAAGGAAAGACAGGUUAAUCACUUAUCCAAAAUUACAUAAUAAAGACAAAAAAAUAACAAAUUAAAAAAAUUACAUAAAAAAUUCUAAGUUUUGACCAUGGAAACAAACUAAAUCCUACAAUUUCAAUUAUAAUAAAUCAACCCCUAUAAUUUUAAUUUGGUACCAAUUUAAGCCAUAUGUUAGUUUUCAUCUACCUAUGGCUAGAGGAAUCAAUUGGUUCCGUGCAAAACAUAUGAAAACGACUUCAUAUAGGACUACCCUCUUUUAAAUCCUUAAUCGAACUAAUUAACAAUGCAAAUUAGAGAGCUUGGGUGUUGUAUUUGUAUUAAACAGACUUAUGUUAUAUUGCGAUUCGAUGCUAUAUUGGAAUGAGAAUGGUUCGUUAUUUCAAUACAUUUUGGGUGAAAAUCAAUUGAUUUUUUUAAAUCUAGGGAUAAAGACUAACAGAUGGUUUGAAUUGUUAUAAAAUUAAAACUCCAGAGUUUGAUUUAUUACAAUUAAAAUUGUAGGAUUUAAUUUAGUAUUAUAGAUAGUUAUGUAAUUUUUAGUAAAAUAUUUUUCUUAAAAAGUAAAGUUCAAAAAUAAGCGCCCAAAAACAAUACUCCAGCAUUGCUUAAAAAUCAUCCUCUACCAAAAAAAAAAUGGGAGGCUUUAUGGGCCUUCAAAAAGGAAAUAUUUUUCUAUGGGCCUACCGUUAAACCUGUGACAGCUGAUCAGUCCUGGGCUUUGUUUCAAAAGGCUGAUAAUAAUAAUAAUAAAAAAAUCAAGCAAAGUUCUUUUGCCAAGCAUGUUUGACAAGACUUCUAGUACUUUUUUUUUCAACUUUUAGUAAUUAGAAAAAAAAUUGUAGGUGAAUGUUUGGUAAAAGUUUUAAAAUGUUCACAACAAUUUUUGUUUUUUAUUUUGUGAGGCGAGGGGAUUAAGUAGAUUUUCAAAAGUACCCUACGUGUUGCUUCUCUAAAAUAUCUUUAGCAGAGUCUAAAAGUUAUUUUGUAAGUUUACGUAGGGUAGUGGGUUAGAGAGAUGAUGUAAGAAAAAUUGAGGAUAGACACUUUUGGUGGUCUUGCGAUAGCGAUGAGAGCUGUUACCAAUCAGUUGCGCGGCAGUGUCCUAGCUACAGCACAAAAAUAGUGAGAUCGAUCGUCGGAGAUGUUUUCGAAAAACAAUUUUCGACGGUCAAGUUAGAUAACCGGAGUUAGUGUAUGUAGAGAGAGAAAAUAUAUGUUCUUAACAGGUAAAAAACGCAUACCUUGAAAGGGUUGGUUCUCUUUAUAUAGCACAGCUCGGCGUGUACCUCGACGUAUCAGCCGUUAUGUCAAUGGGUUGGUGACUCACUCAACCAUGCCUCUGCGGCUUAGUUAGUCGCAUGUCUCCAUACUGCAGACAUCUUGUUCCAGGUAUGGGGCUGUCAGAAAAAACUCCGCCGUGCAAGUUACCUUCUAUCCCUUGACAUACCUCGGGAUCUCCACCGAUUGUUGUUUUUCAAUCAUUCCUGGUGCGAUCAUCCUACCGAGCUUACUAUAGAGCGACAGCUCGGAUGUGACGCAGAUCUCGAGUCUGGCCGAUGUCAAUACGUGGUAGGAUUCCGAUCGAGCUCAGGUACUCGUCAUCCCUCUAUCUUGCAUCAUAGUGGCCCUGUUAGAGAUGACUCAUGUCUCGGUGGGGCCCAAGUUCGUAACCAUUCAUUUUAUCCCCUUACAGUUUCUUAAAAAAUAACUUUAUAAUCCUCAAUGUGCUCCAAAAUGAUUUGCCAAUAAAAAAAAUGCUUCUGAAUGAAUAAUUGUAACAACUAGAGAUGGAAAAGCGGGGGCAGUCAGGGAGCGAUUGUCAUCUAAAAUUUUUAAAUUCUCAAGUUUUAUAGUAGUAUAAACUAUUAUUAUUAUAAAAUUAUAUAAAUUCGCCAUCCUAAAUUGAGAUUAAUAUUGUACGUGCUAUAUGUGUGGUUUAGAAAUUGUGAAUUUUAUAUGUACCUCUACUUUUUCAAGGUUAAAAUAUUGUGUUCUUCGCUGACUACUAGAAAUAUUAAUGGGUAGGAUAUGAAUCAAAAAUCAGUCAAUACCCAUAUUCGAAACUCCACUCUCAUUCUUAUAACCAAUACCUAUCAAGUAAUCCAUUCGGAGAUCGAUUAUACCCAAUAUUUGGAUACAAAAAUAAUAAUAACUAAAUUCCACUUUCAAAAUUAAAAUUCAACAUAUUCAUUCAUACAUCACAUUCCAACCUACUAAUAACAACUAUUAUUAUGUAGCAUGAAUACAAAUCUAACACGUCAUUUAUUCUUAAAAUAACUUAAAAAACAAUAAAGUUUCAACAUAUCAUCCAUAGAUUAAAUUCUAAUCUUAAAUAACUUAUAAACCCAAUAAAGUUAUUAACAAAAAUAUGAAGGAAAAAAAUUCCCAAACAAGAAAAUAAAUCCCUAAAAUGUUGUGACAUUAACCAACCAAGACUUUCCAAUACAUUUUGGCAUUUGCUUUAUUCUGGUUAUAUAUAUGAAUAAAUUCUAGAAUUUAUUAAAUUUUAAAUUCAUAUCAGAUUCGAUAUUCAGAUUUAAAGGUAGAUCACCCAUACCAGAACGGGUAAUCAACUCCUCCCCUAUAACCACAUCUAAUAAGCAAUAUUUUGGAUAGUACUCAUUCUGAAACAGACAGUUCCAACCGGUCACAUGCGAUUUUCACGGAAUUGCCUUGCUAUUACACUCUUGGAUAAGGGGAGGGGGCUUAGGCUGCAACGUGGGAAGCUCGUGGCCAUAUUCCCUUAAGCAAGAUCAGCCGCCUGACAAAAAAUGAAAAUAAAAAAUAAAUAAAUGAAAAUAAGGAUAAAACCCUUGUGGACAACUCGUGGUGUAAACACUUUCAUCAGUUACAACCUUCAUCCGACGGUCCAUAUUAAUCCUAAAUUGGGCAAAACGAUUAUAUUAUGAGUGGUGUUCAGACAGGUUUGAGCCCUGGUAAUACCACGGGCUCGUCUACGUGGCGCGCCCACAUCUACCCAUUUGGAGGUGGAUGGGACAAUUAUUUUUUUUUAAGUGGAGUCCACCCCCAAAUAAAUAGAUAUGGACACGUCAGUAGACGAGGCCGUGAUAAUACCACGAGUUCAAACCCGUCUCAUCAGCUCUCCUAUAUUAUUCUCAUUAGCCACAUCGUUCACACGGUACACCACCAUCAGCAUUUGUGGAGCCUGCCUUAGGUGAGAGAGAGACAGACAGAGACAGAGCAGAGAGAGAGAGAGAGAGAGAGAUGGCUUCAUUGAGCUUAUUUUUAUCACCGGCGGCGGCGACGGGAAGAGUGUACUCUGCGACGGCGGCGAAGAGCUCCGGCGGAAGGGAGGAGAAGAGCCUUCUGGAUUGGAUCCUUGGGGGGCUACAGAAGGAGGAUCAACUGGUGGAGACCGAUUCAAUUCUGAAGAAAGUGGAAGAGAAGAAUGGCGGCCUCAAGAACAAUGUGGCGGUUCCUCCCAAGAAGAAGGACGGCGGCUUCGGUGGCCUUUUCGCCCAAAAAUGAAAAAACGGACUCCCCCCAAUCUCUCUCUCUCUUGAAUGAAUGAAUGAAUGAAUUUACUUUCACGCUUUCUUUUUCCACUGUCUGAAUUAACUAAAGCUUGAUCGAAUUCUCAAUUCAUUGGCAAUCUGGACUCUGCCCCUUAAGUUGUAUUUAAGCAUUUUAUGAAAGGAAAAAAAUCCGCAAAGCUGCUACAGAAGAGAAACCAAAGGAUUUCAGUGCUACGCCUCGUUGUUGUUGUUGUUGUUGUUUUGCUUUCCUGUUUAAAACAUUUGUAUAUAGUGACAGAAAAGGAAAGUGACGAAUGUUUUGUUUUUUUUUGGAAUUCAUUUUGGAAAUCGCUUUAUCAAAAUUUGUUUAAUUGAUAGUUCUAGAAACCUGUUUUCCUGUUUUAUAAGAGCUUUCCAAAAAAGAUAAAAGAAGCGCAUUAUUAAAAAAGAAUAAUUUUUUUUAUAUCUUUUAACUUUUAUUCAAAUUUUAUUUGUGUUCCUCAUGUUUUAAUUUGAACAUAUUUAGCCUGAACUUCAUCGACAGUUGUAAUGAGGAUCUUAUAUUCUCAUUUAUUAAAAUAUGUGGAUAAAAAUAGUUAUGCGCUAUGUGUGUGACCGAUAUAAAGGGCAAACAUGUUUUUUAGAUAUUUCUGGAGAUAAAAAUGAUUUUUUUUUGUCUUUAGACUUUUAUCCAAAUUAUGUAAAAAAAAAAAAAAUAUUUUUGAACUCCUCUCGUCAAGAGUAACAGAAAAAGUGUAAGAUUUUGAUUAAAUAGUGAAUUUUUUUACUAAAAACAAGAAGAAUCUUAUACAUAUAUUAAUUUCAAAACUCCACUAUAGUCAUGUGCAUGACACAUGACUAUUUUCAUCUAUAUAUUCUAACGGAUAUAGACGAAGGGUCUACGUUGCAAUCGUCUCCAAAGUUCAAGUUUAAUAGUUCAAAUUAAAACGUGAAUGGCGAAAGUGGAAUCAGGAGAAAAAUUAGUAUAAACUAAAAGUUACUCUUUUAAAAAUAUUGAAAAGGUGUUUUUAAAUACUAAAUAAUCAUUUUCAAAUUGUCAAGAAAAUUUUAAUAGUCAUGAUGGCGUGACAAUUAUACACAUUGAUUACGGUUUCUAUUGUUACAAUGAUUAUAUUUUAAAAUUAAAGAUCUACAUUACACUCUAAAAUGUGAGAAGAUCAAAAUCUGUUGGAACCAUACAUUCUUUUUUAAC
rnacentral:lncRNA from 1 species